GCCCUUAGAGUUUGAUCAUGGCUCAGAACGAACGCUGGCGGCAGGCCUAACACAUGCAAGUCGAGCGAUCCCUUCGGGGAUAGCGGCGGACGGGUGAGUAACGCGUGGGAACGUGCCCUUUUCUCCGGAAUAGCCCAUGGAAACGUGGAUUAAUGCCGGAUACGCCCUUUUGGGGAAAGAUUUAUCGGGGAAGGAUCGGCCCGCGUUGGAUUAGGUAGUUGGUGGGGUAAUGGCCUACCAAGCCGACGAUCCAUAGCUGGUUUGAGAGGAUGAUCAGCCACACUGGGACUGAGACACGGCCCAGACUCCUACGGGAGGCAGCAGUGGGGAAUCUUAGACAAUGGGGGAAACCCUGAUCUAGCCAUGCCGCGUGAGCGAUGAAGGCCUUAGGGUUGUAAAGCUCUUUCGCCUGGGAAGAUAAUGACGGUACCAGGUAAAGAAGCCCCGGCUAACUCCGUGCCAGCAGCCGCGGUAAUACGGAGGGGGCUAGCGUUGUUCGGAAUUACUGGGCGUUAA
rnacentral:rRNA from 1 species